CCUACGGGAGGCUGCAGUGAGGAAUAUUGGUCAAUGGACGAGAGUCUGAACCAGCCAAGUAGCGUGAAGGAUGACUGCCCUAUGGGUUGUAAACUUCUUUUAUAUGGGAAUAAAAUGUUCCACGUGUGGGACUUUGUAUGUACCAUAUGAAUAAGGAUCGGCUAACUCCGUGCCAGCAGCCGCGGUAAUACGGAGGAUCCGAGCGUUAUCCGGAUUUAUUGGGUUUAAAGGGAGCGUAGGUGGAUUGUUAAGUCAGUUGUGAAAGUUUGCGGCUCAACCGUAAAAUUGCAGUUGAAACUGGCAGUCUUGAGUACAGUAGAGGUUGGCGGAAUUCGUGGUGUAGCGGUGAAAUGCUUAGAUAUCACGAAGAACUCCGAUUGCGAAGGCAGCUCACUGGACUGCAACUGACACUGAGGCUCGAAAGUGUGGGUAUCAAACAGGAUUAGAUACCCCAGUAGUC
rnacentral:rRNA from 1 species